rnacentral:lncRNA from 1 species
GGCACCAUAACCAUGCUCCUCAAUAUUAUUUGCAUAAGAGAUUUGGGAAUAAUCUUUAACACCACCAAACUCUAUGACACCACCCAUCUCAUCUUCAUACCUUUGGAUGUACAUAUCAUCCAUAUCCAUCCAAUUAUAUUGGAUAUCUUGUGAUUUUAUGUAACUUUGAUUGGUUAAAAAUUGAUGAGAAUUUUCCCAAUCAACAUUCCAUUCAAGCUCCAUACUCAUAUCAUGGUCGUCAAUUACAAUUGGACUAAUCUCAGCUUCUAAAGAGCGGAUUACACUCGAUAAUUUCUCGUUGUCACACUCGCCUUCAACAUGUGGUUCAUCGAGUAUCGACAUCAAAAGGGCGUCAUCAAUUUCCAAGUUCUCGAAACUAUCAAAAUCAUAUUGAUCAUUGAUGGAUGCCCAAUUUUCUUUGAUUAAAGAAGCCAUCAAGCAAAUCAAAGUGUGGAAAUGAAUGAUAGAAAAAAAAAAAAAAGGACCAAUGAGAUGAGAAUAUGAGAACACAAUGAGAAAUUGAAGAAAGAGGGUGAGUUUAUAUAGGCAAAGUUCGCACAAAUAAAUUAAUUCAUUAGUGGGCCAUAAUGAUAUGAUGGUACAAUUAUCUUUAGAUCUACAACUUAGAGGUUGCUGAGUAGGAUGGACCAUAUCUCCAAAAUCAUAAUCACCCAUUCUUUCUCCACUUUGGAAUAUUUUGGUGUCAAACAAGUAUUAAACAAGUAAAUUUUGAUUAAUAUAAGGUUGGUUUAUCAAUUCCUUUUGUUCAUUUAUUUUUAUGCUGGAGGGUAUAGGGGGCUUUAUCGUGUUACCCCACCGUCUAUAGCGCCUCUCUCGACGCCACCAUUCACACCAAGCAAAUUAAAUCGGGGCGCCAUUGAUAGGGCUCCAUCAUGGUAACGAGGAAGAAGGGCUUUAUCAGACGGGGCCCACAUCAUUUCAGCCAAUAAUUUUUUUUAUUUUGUUUAAUAGUGGCUCAAUCCCAUACCAUGCAAGUUAAAGGGGGCGUGAUAAAGCCCUCUGGCUGACGUGGAUCCUAGGUGAUGCUGAUGUGUCUUGAUAAAGCUCCUACAGGCUCCAUUCCACACCCUCCAGCCUUAUAAAUAACUAUUAUGUUAACGGACAUUAGGUAAGAGAUGAUACCCAACAUGAAUGAUGUAAGUGCAAGAAAGGCCCACAAAAAGGAGACAGAUAAUGGAGCAUUUAAGAUUGUGUUAGAUAUGGUAGAACCAGAGUGGUAAUGAGUUUGCAAACUAUAUCUCCCAUGUUUUUAAUGGGGUUACCCCACCUCCAACUGAGUUUUCCAUGAAUCCUAAAAUCUAUUUUAAACAAAGUUACCUUUAAACCAAACCUUUGGUUAUCAUUUUCUCUAUUUUAAACCUAGUUACCUUUAAACAAAACCUUUCGUUAUCAUUUUAGGUUUAUUUAAUAAAAGUUUGUCUAAAGAACCUCUAGAAAUUAUAAACAUUUAAGAUAAAAAAUGGUUCAAUUUUAAAGUUUCAGUGAUGUUUGUUUUGACACUUCAAUUGUUUUUUUCUUUGUGUUGUUAGAUUAAACCUUUUGUUUUAUUAAUAAUUUAACCAUAAACUUUUUCCAUUAGAUUUUACUUUGUUUCUCUACUCAGUUAACGUCUUAAGUGUUGUCAUCUUUUCAAAUCCUUUAAAGAAUUUAUAAAUUUAGGGGUAUUGGAUUUAAAUAAGAUUAACUUUCAUCAAUUGGCUGAUAGUACUCUUGAUUUUCGAUUUGUAUCGCACCACUCCCAACUUUCGACUUAUUUUUCUCUGACACUCCCAAAAUAACUGAAUCCUAACUCAGUUAGUUUGUUGCUGAUGUGGCACUUGUUUAGUGGCGUGACAUAUUUUGACCAUGUGGCGUCUGAUGAGGCACUUAUUUGGGGACUUGGCAUCUGACGUGGCUUUGUUGAUGACGUGACAUCUGAUGUAGCACUUGUUUAGUGACGUGGUAUUUAACAUCAGCUAACUGGGUUAGUUUGAAAGUGUCGGAGAAAAAUAAGUUAGUUGAGAAUGAUGUAGCACUUGUUUAGUGACGUGACAUUUGACAUCAACUAACUAGGUUAGUUUGAGAGUGCCAGAGAAAAAGAAGUUAGUUGAGAAUAAUGUACAAAUUGAAAGUUGAGAGUACUAUUGAACAAUUAGUAAAAUUGGGAUUAUUUAAAUCCAUUAUCCCAUAAGAUUGAUAUAAUUAUUAAUUAAAAAAAUGGUUAAAGACACCGCCAACUCCUUAUUUGUCAUGACCCAACAUCUUUUUUUGAAUGGUAAAUUUCUUUUGUUCUUGUCGUCUGCGGGACUUGAAUUUAAAAUCUUCCCCUCUUAAGAUGUUUAAAGGUUUUACUUUUACAUGGACCAUCACCCCGUUGGUGUCAUGACUCAACACUUAACAUCAUGAUUUUGUUGUCAUUGUAUGUCUAUUAAGAUGGAUUUUUAAUGGUUCGGAUCAGCGAAACUUUUUGCCAAAUUAAAUCAGGUCACUAAAAUAUUCCAUGUUUCUAGCAUAGAUUAUGGGUGUUUAACUUUGUAUUGAUUUCUAAAUAUUUAAUUCAGGUUUGUUCAUAUGUUUUCAUUUGGUUCAUAUGUAAUUUUAAUAGACACACACGCACUCAAAAACCACAACAAAUAUCCCAAAACUAUUCAAAAUCUAG